ACCUGUUGUUGGUUAUCUUUUUGUCGUGCAAAUAACUUUACAAGAAAAGCAGAGAUUUAAAAUGCACGUCUAGGUAAGCUUAGGGAACAUGCAGAGUCCUUGUUCUUUCUUGUAAGCCACAGAGGAGCAUUGCAUGGAGCAGAGGUCAUCAGGCAUCUGUUCCACAUGUGCACUUCAUGCCAAAAUACUUCUUAAUCCCAGAGAAUGUAAAGCAGAGCCGAGCUUUUACUCUCCAUCCAUUCCUGUGGCACAUAUCUACCCAGAAUAUACUGAAAGCACCUGCAAGUGGGAAAAGCUUCCGACUAGGCUUUUUCAAAUUAAAGUGAUUUGGAGGAGCCUUCUUCCCAAAUAGCAGCAGGCUGAGAUGAGGACGUGAAAGCGCCAAAUGGGGACAAAGACAGGUUCCAAUUUGGAUGCAAACAUGUGACAAUUCAUUUCCUUCAAUGAUACUCCAGAUGAAUUCUAAGAUGAUAGCAACUGACUCCUGGAUUCUCCCUGCUUAUGAGGACAGUCUAGACUUAGUUACUACUACUGCAUAGUUGGAAGAAGACAGAGCUGAUCAGUGUGGCUAGGCUUUACAUUCUGCUGAGGUGAGUGAAUGGCAAGGGCAGGUAGAGCACUCAAUU
rnacentral:lncRNA from 1 species